rnacentral:rRNA from 1 species
GGGAAGACUACCCGCUGAACUUAAGCAUAUCA